UGGGGAAUAUUGGACAAUGGGCGAAAGCCUGAUCCAGCCAUGCCGCGUGUGUGAAGAAGGUCUUCGGAUUGUAAAGCACUUUAAGUUGGGAGGAAGGGCAGUAAGCGAAUACCUUGCUGUUUUGACGUUACCGACAGAAUAAGCACCGGCUAACUCUGUGCCAGCAGCCGCGGUAAUACAGAGGGUGCAAGCGUUAAUCGGAAUUACUGGGCGUAAAGCGCGCGUAGGUGGUUCGUUAAGUUGAAUGUGAAAGCCCCGGGCUCAACCUGGGAAAUGCAUCCAAAACUGGCGAGCUAGAGUAGGGCAGAGGGUGGUGGAAUUUCCUGUGUGGCGGUGAAAUGCGUAGAUAUAGGAAGGAACACCAGUGGCGAAGGCGACCACCUGGGCUCAUACUGACACUGAGGUGCGAAAGCGUGGGGAGCAAACAGG
rnacentral:rRNA from 1 species